UGUCCAAAUAUAUUUGCACUAAGCUGACAGGAUGCACAAAAGAAGUCUCGAACGCAGUGGUCAUCUGCGUUCGAUUCCGUGUAGUUUUUCUAUUUUUUUGUCUUUUUCUUUCUCUUCGUGGUCAAAAUUUCAGAGUGGUUUCUAUAA
rnacentral:ribozyme from 15 species